UAAGCGGGGAGUUCAAGAGUACGUGAAACCGCUCAGGGGUAAACCUGCGAAACUCGAAUGAACGAACGGGGAGAUUCAUCGUUAUUCCGUGGCGUGGUGGCGCGCUCUCGAUACCGUUUCGGCUUCGGCCCCGGCGGUACGGGGCGCGUCGUUCGACGUUCUCGGACGGCGUGCACUUCUCCCUUAGUAAUACAUCGCGACCCGUUCGACGUCGGUCUAAGCUCCGUUCGGGAGUCUCUGUCUCACCUCUCGGGGUGAGGCGGCGACCGUGACGGUAGCCGACCGGCUGUCGGACGGUAAUCCAACGGAUCGCGUACGCGUUAACGCGCGUCCGGCCCGACGCAAGGUGUCGCGUCGCUCACUCCCGUCCUGCCCGAGCGCGGGCGGGGGUGCGGCGCGCCUGUCGUCGCAGCCGUGCUGUCUCGGACUGUGCGCGUACCGUGUCUGCGAUGAUUCAGUUUCGGGCACUCGCAGGACCCGUCUUGAAAACGGGGACCCA
rnacentral:rRNA from 1 species